AAUAUUGCAAAAUGGGUAUAACCCUGAUGCAGCGACGCAGUGUGAGCGAAGAAGGCCUUCGGGUCGUAAAGCUCUGUCCUAAGAGAAGAAACGGACGGUACCUUAGAAGGAAGACCCGGCUGACUACGUGCCAGCAGCCGCGGUAAUACGUAGGGGGCGAGCGUUAUCCGGAAUUAUUGGGCGUAAAGGGUGCGUAGGCAGCUUUUUAAGUCAGAUGUGAAAGGCUAUGGCUUAACCGUAGUUAGCAUUUGAAACUAAAAGGCUUGAGUGCAGGAGAGGAGAGUGGAAUUCCUAGUGUAGCGGUGAAAUGCGUAGAUAUUAGGAGGAACACCAGUGGCGAAGGCGACUCUCUGGACUGCAACUGACGCUGAGGCACGAAAGCGUGGGGAGCGAAC
rnacentral:rRNA from 1 species